GAGUGAACAGGGAAGAGCCCAGCACCGAAGUCUGUGGCUGAUUGGCCAUUAGACAAUGUGGUGUUUAGGUCGUUCCGCAGAGGUACUGCUCCACCCUAAGUCCAGCAAUGAGUACGGUGGUACGGACAUGGCCCACAGAGGGUGAAAGGCCCGUGGGGGUGGAGAUCCGUUGCGACAGUGCCUCUCUGGGUAGACCUUUGAGUCGGGUUGUUUGUGAAUGCAGCCCAAAGUGGGUGGUAAACUCCAUCCAAGGCUAAAUACUGGCACGAGUCCGAUAGCGAACAAGUACCGUGAGGGAAAGUUGAAAAGUACUUUGAAGAGAGAGUAAACAGUGCGUGAAACCGCUCAGAGGUAAACGGGUGGAGUUGAACUGCAAGCACUGAGAAUUCAAACGGUGAGUGUGGCUUGAGCUUGGUUAAAUUGGUUGAACCCGGAAGUCUGCGUAGUAGCAGGCCUGUGUCUCUGGCACAGGUGCGCGAUGCACUUAUCAAGUGUUGUGCGCUUUUGGUGUUCGUCGGACCAACUUGCCGGUGCACUUUCUCAGUGUGGUCACCACGACCGGCGCUGCCGUCUGGCUGCUGUGGUUAAACCGGCCUUGCAUUGUCCUUGUGGCUUUGUUUGGUCGGGAUGGCAGGUAACUCGUUGGCUUGUCUGCAGUUUACUGCAGGCGUUAGGCUUUCGAGUGUAAUGAGCUGACCGCAGUGGCUCUGUACGGUGCGUCGGAGACGGCGGCUUGAGGUGUGUGCAUGCGUGCCUGUCUUGUUGGCGGGUCUGGGUUUGGUUGUUUUGUUGCCUGUUCAAGCAGGCCUGAUGAUAGCCCGGAUUCGUUUGACUGGCGGUUGCGUGUGUGACACAGUUGCUAGAGCCAAUAGUCUGUGGUGUAGUGGUAGACUAUCCACCUGACCCGUCUUGAAACACGGACCAAGGAGAGUAACAUGUGCGCGAGUCAUUGGGCGUUACGAAACCCAAAGGCGCAGUGAAAGUAAAGGUCUGGCUUGUUCAGACUGAGGUGAGAUCCUGUCGUUUCUCACGCGCGGUACUACCAAGCACCGAGCGGCAGGCGCAUCACCGGCCCGUCCCAUGACAAUUGUUUUCGGACGUCAUUCAGUCGGGGCGGAGCAUGAGCGUACAUGUUGAGACCCGAAAGAUGGUGAACUAUGCUUGUGCAGGUUGAAGCCAGAGGAAACUCUG
rnacentral:rRNA from 1 species